UCUUUGCUAGUAUAUCAGUUAGUACACGCGCUUGUCAUACAGGCAUCUCGCGAUAUGCUCUGAAACCGCGCGAAAGCUGGGUUCAACUCCCAGGCAGAGAG